CGUGCACGCUGGCGGUAGGCCUAACACAUGCAAGUCGAACGGCAGCACAGUAAGAGCUUGCUCUUACGGGUGGCGAGUGGCGGACGGGUGAGGAAUACAUCGGAAUCUACUUUUUCGUGGGGGAUAACGUAGGGAAACUUACGCUAAUACCGCAUACGACCUACGGGUGAAAGCAGGGGAUCUUCGGACCUUGCGCGAUUGAAUGAGCCGAUGUCGGAUUAGCUAGUUGGCGGGGUAAAGGCCCACCAAGGCGACGAUCCGUAGCUGGUCUGAGAGGAUGAUCAGCCACACUGGAACUGAGACACGGUCCAGACUCCUACGGGAGGCAGCAGUGGGGAAUAUUGGGCAAUGGGCGCAAGCCUGAUCCAGCCAUACCGCGUGGGUGAAGAAGGCCUUCGGGUUGUAAAGCCCUUUUGUUGGGAAAGAAAAGCAGCAGGUUAAUACCCCGCUGUUCUGACGGUACCCAAAGAAUAAGCACCGGCUAACUUCGUG
rnacentral:rRNA from 1 species